AUGUUUACUGUGGGCUUAGACAUUGAUACGCGUGCCUACUUCACCGCAGCUACCAUGAUCAUAGCUGUGCCCACAGGAAUCAAAAUCUUUAGUUGGAUCGCUACCAUGUGGGGAGGUUCGAUACAAUACAAAACACCCAUGUUAUUUGCUGUAGGGUUCAUCUUUUUGUUCACCAUAGGAGGGCUCACUGGAAUAGUUCUAGCAAACUCUGGGCUAGACAUUGCUCUACAUGAUACUUAUUAUGUGGUUGCACAUUUCCAUUAUGUACUUUCUAUGGGAGCCGUUUUUGCUUUAUUGUUGGAUUUUACUAUUGGGUGGGUAAAAUCUUUGGUCGGACAUAUCCUGAAACUUUAG
rnacentral:rRNA from 1 species